GACGAACGCUGGCGGCGUGCUUAACACAUGCAAGUCGAACGGUGAAGCGCCUUCCUUUUUGGUGGGUGUGGAUGAGUGGCGAACGGGUGAGUAACACGUGAGUAACCUGCCCCCUUCUUCUGGAUAACCGCAUGAAAGUGUGGCUAAUACGGGAUAUUCUGGGUCUGUCGCAUGAUGGGUCUGGGAAAGAUAUUGUUUCGGUGGGGGAUGGGCUCGCGGCCUAUCAGCUUGUUGGUGGGGUGAUGGCCUACCAAGGCGGUGACGGGUAGCCGGCCUGAGAGGGUGGACGGUCACACUGGGACUGAGACACGGACCAGACUCCUACGGGAGGCAGCAGUGGGGAAUAUUGCACAAUGGGCGCAAGGCUGAUGCAGCGACGCCGCGUGAGGGAUGGAGGCCUUCGGGUUGUGAACCUCUUUCGCCAGUGAAGCAGGCCUGCCUCGUUUGUGGGUGGGUUGACGGUAGCUGGAGAAGAAGCGCCGGCUAACUACGUG
rnacentral:rRNA from 1 species